UAUGAUUUCCGAUGACUACUGAUAAACUUUUGAUUGGUCUAACGACAUUAAGAAAUUUUAUCUGGCUACCCUACUCAAAACUGUCAAAAUAUAAGUGUUGUUUUGAUUUGGAUGAACUUCCAAAAAAUCAAAAGAAAAAGUCCCACGAGAACCAAAUCUGGCUGGAUUAAGUUUAUCUUCCGUAUCCCAGCUGUGUGCCUUGUGACUGCUACAGUAGCCAGGAACAUGGAGCGAUUGGACCAUCAGUACCUGAUGUUUUUGCCGAAUAACCAAUCGGCUUCGUUUCAACAUUUGUUCCGGAUUAAUGAAAGAAAAUGGAAACAGCGUUUAGUUUGCUCACCGCCUCUGUUGUAUGCAAAGGUUUAUAUGAAAAUGUUCGGAGUACCUGCAGCGUCAAAAACACAGCUGAAAGAAUAGCGGAUGCCUGGCAAUAUCGAAACGGGAAAGGGACGUUAGUCAACUAAAGCAACGUACGAGUGUCUGCCCAGAAAGUGUUAUGUAUCGGCAAAAUAAGGAGUUGAGGUAUGGCCAGUGAAACCAACAGUGGCUGAAUCCAGUGGGCUUCUGGAGCAAAACUGGACAAGGAAUAUUAUGUUCGAAAUCAAACAGUUCAUAGAUAUAUAAUAAAGAAUUGCUAAAAAUAGAAACAGCAGAGGAAUAUGAGAAAUUUCUGUGGAUUUGUAGAACGAAAACAUUGUCUGUUUUGUCGAUUUUUUAUCAUCAGGUGUAGAUACUUAUUCUGCAGAACGUAUGGGUAUAUCUUCGGGUGAACGAUUUUCUUAGAUAAGAUGUACAAGUCAACGUUUCCAUAUGUAAAUUUAAACAAUAUAUGUAUCAUCCUCCGUGAGGGGAUAGUUUUUUAAUGAAAUUCUCUAAGCAAAUUUUCGAAACUAUGCAAUUUUUAUAUAUUUUCUAAAAUUAUACUGUUGAUUUCUCAGUGCGUGGCGCUACAUUCGGAGACUGUAAGACUAGAGGGCCACUAGUACUAGUUGGAUAUUGAUAUGAUGCUCAGAUGCCCAUUAGCUUUACAUGUAUUGUCCCGUUUAUGUACAACUAAUAGUGAUCAACGAUGUGCUGUAGUAAGACCAGUAAAUGCAUGGUGACACUAAUGCUUUGUGCUCUCUAGUACAUUGUGUUGAUCUUAUGGCUUCGUCUUCAAUUACUGUCGUGAUUUGCUGGUUGGGACACCCUCUGUCCAACAAACAAAUUUUAUUCGCUUGUUGGACCGACCAACAGAUGUCAAAACCUCCCCAAAGAAAACGUUAGUAGAGUAAAUGCAUUUGUUCACAUCUCCAAUUAUAGUCAGACUGAAUGUCAAAGAAAAUUUGACAUGAAAUUUUGGCAUUCUAAUGCUUCUUAAUUGUACAAUUGAACUAGCGGAGGUUCAACAAAAAAGUGGUUUAGUUAAAAAGUGUCCAACCAGUGAAUCACAAAAGCGUUGUGAGGGCACUGAUAUUGAUUUGCGAAACAAAUGAGGUUUUCUGUGAACAGUAAAAUGCGAUUUUUACGAACUCGGAAUCGAUAUGAACAAGUUUAACCUGAACAAGUAUUUUAUAUGCUCAUAUUUCACUAACGUAAAUAAUUUGGCAAAUAUCAGUAACUAAGAAAAUUCAAUGCCAACAAAUGAGAGAAAAUGAAAGUUUUAGACUAUAAGUUAAAAAAAAGUAAACUAUUAAAUAGAAAUAUCCAUCAUGUAUUUUCUGUUACGUAAUUACCGAUGGUAUUUGA